GCUCGGCCGGCGGCCGGGCGGGGCAACUGCCGGGCGGGCGCCGAGCGGGACCACACGCUAGAGAGGUGCUUUCGGUCAGACCCAGCGGCGCCGGUUCCCCGCGAUGCCGAGGCCAGAUCCGGACGCCUCGCCUCUCUGAGUCGGUCUCAGCGCGGAAGGCACAGAGGGAGGCCAUGGCGGAGCCCUCCGAGCCCGGGCGGCAGGCGUCCGCGGGCGGCGGGAGCCUGGAGGAGGAGGAUGAGGAGGACGAGGAGCGGGAGCCGCUGCUGCCGCGGAUCGCCUGGGCCCAGCCGCAGAAGGGCGCUCCGGGGGGCGCCGUGCGGCUGGAGAAAGCUGUCGGGGAGGAGGGCGCGGCCUCCCCUAACCAGGCCAGUGACCGGGAACUGCUGCUGCUGCCCAGGGAUGCGUCUUUCUUCUCUUCCCUGAGUUUGGGGUGCCUGCGGAGCUCGCCCACCAACCUGGACCGGAACCACCCCGUGGGUUCAGAGUUGAAUACAUUCUUGGAUGAUCCAGAAUUUGCUGAUGUUAUAUUGAAAGCAGAGCAAGCAAUAGAAUUUGGAGUUUAUCCAGAAAGAAUCUCUCAAGGUUCAAGUGGAAGUUACUUCGUGAAGGAUCCUAAGAGGAACAUUAUUGGUGUGUUUAAACCCAAAUCAGAAGAGCCUUAUGGUCACCUGAAUCCAAAAUGGACCAAAUACGUUCAUAAGGUCUGCUGCCCUUGCUGCUUUGGCAGAGGCUGCCUGCUUCCUAAUCAGGGAUACCUUUCCGAAGCUGGUGCCUCCCUUGUGGAUGAAAAGCUUCAUCUGGGCAUUGUACCAAAAACAAGGGUGGUUUGGCUCGUCAGUGAGACAUUUAACUACAGUGCAAUUGACCGUGCAAAAUCUAGAGGCAAAAAGUAUGCUUUAGAGAAAGUGCCAAAAGUAGGUAGAAAAUUUCAUCGGAUAGGACUUCCUCCUAAGAUUGGUUCCUUUCAGUUAUUUGUUGAAGGUUACAAGGAGGCUGAAUAUUGGCUUAGGAAAUUUGAAGCUGACCCUUUGACUGAGAAUAUUAGAAAACAAUUUCAGUCACAGUUUGAAAGAUUAGUUAUUUUGGAUUACCUCAUCAGAAAUACAGACAGGGGAAAUGAUAAUUGGUUAAUCAGAUAUGAAAACCAGAAACAAGAAGAUGAAAUUACGGAAACAAAAUGGACUGAUGAUAAAGAAACGCUUAUUAAAAUAGCUGCAAUUGAUAAUGGUCUAGCAUUUCCAUUUAAACAUCCUGAUGAGUGGAGAGCAUAUCCAUUUCACUGGGCUUGGCUUCCUCAAGCAAAAGUUCCUUUUUCUGAAGAAAUAAGAAAUUUAGUUCUACCACAUAUUUCUGACAUGAACUUUGUGCAAGAUUUAUGUGAAGAUCUUUAUGAACUUUUUAAGACUGACAGAAGAUUUGACAAAGCCACUUUUGAAAGGCAGAUGUCUGUGAUGAGGGGUCAGAUCUUAAAUCUUACUCAGGCAUUGAGAGACAGGAGGAGUCCUGUCCAGCUAGUACAGAUGCCUUGUGUGAUUGUGGAGCGCAGUCAAGGUGGAGGUCAGGGUCGGAUCGUCCACCUCAGCAAUUCAUUCACCCAGACUGUCCACUGCAGGAAGCCUUUUUUUUCCUCCUGGUAGCAGAUGUGAGAGAAAGAAACCGUUUGGCAUUAUUGUGUUGUUACAACAUUACCGCCCUGUAAACCUGCUGAUAUAUGAAGAGACAGGCAGCAUCUUAUGUUUUAUAGUCUGCCUUCUUUCCCAAAGUUGCUUGGGCAGCUGUACAGAUAGUGGCAGAGAUCUUCAGUGUGGCUCUGUUUCCAGGCCUCUCUUAUGGUGAGUUUGGAGCCAUGUAACCGAGUUCUGGCCAGUAAGAUGUGGUGAUGAGGGAUAUAUGUGGCUUCCAGACCUGGCAGUAAAACUCACUGUGGCACAACCAGUGAUCACCGUUGACCACUCUCUUGUCUUCCCAUUUGGCUGUAAACAAAGAAUUUGCAAAGUGGAAGCAGCCAGGGCAUGUGAGUCACUGCUUGGAAACCUACCAGGAGAGCGUGCUGACUGCAUUGGACUGUGACAUGAGCAAGAAAUAGUGCUUGUGUUUAGUCACUAAAAUUUUGCAUUUAUAUGUUAAAACUUACCAUAGUCUGUCCUAUCCUGGGCAUUAACGGUGUAAAUAGAAAAAAAAAUCAUUUUAAAAUAAAAAACCAAUUAUAGAAGGCUGAAUGGCAGCAGCAGUGAGUAUUUAAUCUCAAAUCCCCAUAGAACAACUAGGAUAGCAAAAGAAAAAUCACAGUGACACCAUCUUCACUAAAAUUAGAUGAUAGAAUAUCCCUAUGGAUCCCAGAAAUGAGCAGUUUGGGCUAAAUCCAUCAAUAGCAAAAGGAUCACAUGGGAACAGCUUUGGAGGAGUGAACGGAGGGAAAGUGAGGGGGGCCUGUGAUGGUACAAAGAGCCCAGAAUCUGCUGACAUGUCGUCAGCCCCAAAAGGAGGCGCCCCCAGUCAUCGUGGCAGUCUCAACUGGUGCAUCCAAAACCACAAUCAAAAUUGGGAGAGGGCUGUCCAGCAUUCAGCCGGAAGCUGUAAAGGGAGCCUGCAGGAAGGUAUGAGGGUGCCAGGGCGACCUGGUCUUCAGGGUUCCCGGAAGUAGCUGGUGAGAGCACAUAGACCUGCCCUGAGAGAAGCUACUGGAUAUAGAAUAGACAUUGACGAGGGAAGGACCCUGGGGAUAAAGGAGACAAGGUUCUGAUACAGAUAGAAGAGGGGACCAGAUGAGACAAUUCAGAAAGUACUAAGAAGGUUCAUAAAAAACCAUGUCAUCUGGGAAUUCCCUGGCAGUCCAGUGGUUAGGACUCAGCACCUGCACUGCUGGGCCCAGGUUCCAUCCCUGGUCCAGGAACUAAGAUACUGCAGGCCAAGCGGCACGGUCGAAUAAAUAAGUAAGAAUAAAAUAUCAGUUAUUACAAAAAGAAUAAUAAAAAUAAAAGUUAUCUUAAAAAAAAAUGUUAUCUAAUACUCUGUAGUAACUACAGAAGAGAGAACCCUAGAACUACAAAACCAGGAAACUCCAGGCCUACCUCACCACCUAUCCAGGAAUCUUCUGAAAAUAUAGGAGGAAAGUAUGAAAAAGUCCAUCUCACUUAAACAUGACCACAUCAUACAAUAUGCUUUAAGAAAACAGGAUAACAGUGUGUAUCACAUACCCACAGGAAAUGAAGAUAUCCUAGAAACUUUUACAAAGCAGAAGAAAACAGUAAUAUUUGUUAAAAUGCUGAAGAAAUUCAAGAAAUGAUAGAACCUGAGAAAGAACAAUAUAACAUCAAAAUCAGGAAAGCUCAAAAAUUAGAUGGACAAGCAACAGGAGGAAAUAAAAUGAGAGCUGACAGAGCUCAGAGGAAAUAUUGGAGUUAACAGUAGGUUUCAGAAAUAAACUAGAAGGAACCCAAGGGCAAAUAGACAACAUCCACAGGAACUCUACAGCAAACAUCAUACUUAGUGCUGGAAAAUCUAAAGCUUUCUAUAUUUGUUUUCUGUUGCUGCUGUAAUAAAUUAUCACAAACGUUAGUGUUUUAAACAACACAAAUUCAUUAUCUGACAGUUCUGCAGGUUAGAAGCCUGACACAGGUGUCACUGGACUAAAAUCAGGGUGUCAGCAGGGCUGUGUUUCUUUCUGGAGGCUCUAGGGGGGAAUCUGUUCCCUUGUCCUUUCUAGUAUCAAGGAGCCUCACACAUCCCUUGGCUUGUAGCCCUCUCCCUCCAUCUCCAAAGCCAGCAACAGCGGGCUGAAUACUUUUCUCAUCACAUCAUUCUGUCAUUGACCCUUCUGCCUCCUUCUUGCACUUUUAAGGACACUUGUUAUUACACUGGGCCCACCCAGGUAAUCUAGAAUAAUCUCCCUAUGUUAAGGCCUGCUUAUACGUAACCUUAAUUCCAUCUUCAACUUUAAUUCCCCUUUGCCAUUUAAUAUAUUCAAAAAUUCUGGAGAUUAGGACAUGGACAUCUUUGGGGGCCAGUAUUCUGCCUCUGCACUUUCUCUCUGAGAUCAGUAAUGUGACAAGGGGGCCUGCUUUCACAAUUCAUAUUCAGUAUUGUACUGGAGAGCAUAACCAGUGCAGUAAAGGCAGGGAAGAGGUGAAAGGAAUGAGGUUCAGAAAGAAAGAAAGAAAAUUGUCAUUAUUUAUAGAUGACAUAAUUAUGCAUGUAGAAAAUUAAAAAGAAUCUACCAAUAGCUAUUAGAAUUGAUAAGUGAAUUUUGCAAGGUUUAUAUACCAGCAACAUUAGUCAGAAAAAGAAAAUUUUAAAAGAUACCAUUUAUAGCAGCAGCGAAACACAUCAGAUUUCUAGGGAUAAGUCCAACCAAAGAUGUGUAAGCUCUCUAUACCAACUAUAAAAAGAGUAUUGAGAAUAAUUCAAGAUUUAAAUAAAUGGAGGGCAAUACCAUGCUUAUGUAUCAAUAAUGUUAGGAUGUUGAUGCUCCCAAGUUUGUUUAUAGUUUCAACACGAUCAAAUCCCAUCAGGAUUUUUUAAAAAAUUGACAAGAGAGUCCACCUGCCGAUGCAGGGGACACGGGUUCGUGCCCCGGUCCGGAAAGAUCCCACAUGCCACGGAGUGUCUGGGCCCGUGAGCCAUGGCCGCUGAGCCUGUGCGUCCGGAGCCUGUGGGCCGCAACGGGAGAGGCCACAACAGUGAGAGGCCCGCGUACCGCAAAAAAAAAAAAAAACAAAAUUGACAAGCUAAUUCUAAAAUGUAUAUGGAAAUGUUCUGGCCAACCUAUGAGACAAGAGCAAAAGUUGGAGGACUUAUACGCUACCUGGUCUCAGAACUUAUAAAGCUACAGCAAUCAAAACAGUGGUAAUUGGGGUAAAGAUAGACAUAAGAUCAAGGACACAGAAAAGAGAAUCCAGAAAUAAACCCUACAUACAUGGUAAACUGAUUUUCAACAAAGGUGCCAAGGUAUUUCAAUAGAAAGGGAAGUCUUUUCAACAAAUGAUACUGUAAUACACACACACACAGUGAACUUUCACUUUCACCCCAUACAGAGGCCUAAGUAUGAGAGCUAAAACUUAUAGAAGAAAACAGGAGAAAAUCUUAGUGACCUUGUUCUUACAGAGAUUUCUUAGAGCACAAAUGGCACAAACCAUUAAAGAAAAAAUUGAUAAAUUGGUCUUCAUCAAAACUAAAAACUUUUGCUCUUCAAAAGACACUUCAGAAAAUAAAAUUUCUAGUCACAAACUGGGAGAAAAUAUUUGACAAAUAUAUCUGAUAAAGAAUUCCAGAAUAUAUAAAGAGAUUGCACAACUCAAGAAUAAGAAGUAAAAUAACCCAUUUAAGAAAUGAACAUAGGGGCAGGACAGGAAUAAAGAUGCAGACGUAGAGAAUGGACUUGAAGACAUGGGGAGGGGGAAAGGUAAGCUUGGACGAAGCGAGAGAGAGAGAGAGAGAGAGAGAGAGAGAGAGAGACAUGGACAUAUAUACACUAACAAAUGUAAAAUAGAUAGCUAGUGGGAAGCAGCCGCAUAGCACAGGGAGGUCAGCUCAGUGCUUUGUGUCCACCUAGUGGGGUGGGAUAGGGAGGGUGGGAGGGAGACACAAAAGGGAGGAGAUAUGGGGAUGUAUGUAUAGCUGAUUCACUUUGUUAUAAAGCAGCAACUAACACAACACUCUAAUUAUACUCCAAUAAAGAUAUUUAAAAAAAAGAA